rnacentral:tRNA from 1 species
CGUGAUGCCUGAAUAUUUUUACUUUUAGGCCAUGAUCCUGUCACCUUAGGUCGAUCGGUACCUCAGUUUUAGUUCAAAAAAUUUUUUGAAAAAGAAUUCAGUUCCUAAACUUGUCUAGGUCACACCCAACAAGGGUACUCCUGGGCCAUUAGCUCAGGUGGUUAGAGCGCACCCCUGAUAAGGGUGAGGUCCCUGGUUCAAGUCCAGGAUGGCCCAUUCGGUGUUGGGGGUAUAGCUCAGUUGGUAGAGCGCCUGCUUUGCAAGCAGGAUGUCAGCGGUUCGAGUCCGCUUACCUCCACUGAUCGACCUCCUGAUAACGAACCUUAAGGAGAUUAUUUGUUAGAUGUGACUUAGUAAUUGUUCUUUAAUGAAUAGAACCUAGCUUCUUGUCGUCCUUUCAAAAGAAUUUGAUUUUGGUUGACAUGACGCUGGGCUCACUGCAGUUAAUUACUGCAGAUCUGUUCAGUAGAACCUUGACAACUGCAUAGGUGAGUCUGGAAAGAAUAAAGCAUCUCAUGGAUGCAUUAAUCUUUAAAAAAAGAAUUAAAUAUUCUUGAUUUAAUUAUGAUUAAUGCUUAAUUCUUGAGUAAGAGCCGAAGACUUCUAUAACG